CAGGCUAUGAUUUGUAAUCAUGUAUGAGAUGGGCUGGAACAAAAGCUUCAGAUCUUCUCCAUGUGUAGGCUAUUGUACUGGCCUGUGUGGUGCAGUCUUUCAUAUGUGUAGUAGUUUGUUGCAUCGUAUUUCUUAGUUUUCCAUUUGUGUCAACUUUAAACUCAAUCUAAGCCACAGACUAACUUCCUCCAUUUUGUACUUGAUCUUUAUAGACACAGACCCGAAGACAUUCAAGCAGCAAGCAUCCCAAGUCUCUAAUGGUCCCAGUACUGGUUGAUAUGCAGGCCUAAGUGACCACACACUCAAAUGGAUCUACAGAUGUUGGUUGGGACACACGAUGAGCAUGAUUUGAAUGCUGCAACUGAGACUGAAUGACGCUGAGUGACACGCGCUGAGACCCCGUGUGACUGGACAUGGGCCCCAUAUUUGUGUCAACAACCUACAAGGUGUGAAAAAGCACAGCAGCAACCACUUUUUUAUGUUUAUUCCAUCCCUCUAGUUACCCCUUAUUCCACACUAUGCCUUUUAUGUUCCCUCAACUUCGGACUCUUUGGAACUCUCCAUCUUCUCUCAAUAAACCCACCCUACCGUCACCCAUUUUCCCUAUACUGGUUCCUUCACUUGUUCUUCCCCUCAUUUGAUAACAUCUAGACUCAGUAACACAUUUCAGUGUUGUGGUGUACUGUUUUUGCAAGCUUUUUUCCACCUGUGUAAUGCUGUCCUGCUUAUUCUGGGGUUCAGACUGAAUGCAGUGGUAAAUGUGCUUCUCACAAUUGACAGCAGCAACAUGGAACUGUUAAAUUGACAAGAUUAGUGUUGACAUUACUUUAGGCAUGGCUUCCAUGUUCUGAGUAUGUUAGAUGAUUUUCUCAUUCUGCUGGAGUUGAUCUAGUACUUUUUUUAAAAAUUAAACCUAUCUUAAAUUAAGCA